rnacentral:rRNA from 1 species
GAUGAACGCUAGCGGGAGGCCUAACACAUGCAAGCCGAGCGGUAUUGUUUCUUCGGAAAUGAGAGAGCGGCGUACGGGUGCGGAACACGUGUGCAACCUGCCUUUAUCUGGGGGAUAGCCUUUCGAAAGGAAGAUUAAUACUCCAUAAUAUAUUGAACGGCAUCGUUUAAUAUUGAAAGCUCCGGCGGAUAGAGAUGGGCACGCGCAAGAUUAGCUAGUUGGUGAGGUAACGGCUCACCAAGGCAAUGAUCGUUAGGGGGCCUGAGAGGGUGAUCCCCCACACUGGUACUGAGACACGGACCAGACUCCUACGGGAGGCAGCAGUGAGGAAUAUUGGUCAAUGGGUGCAAGCCUGAACCAGCCAUCCCGCGUGGAGGACGACUGCCCUAUGGGUUGUAAACUUCUUUUGUAUAGGGAUAAACCUACCCUUGUGAGGGUAGCUGAAGGUACUAUACGAAUAAGCACCGGCUAACUCCGUGCCAGCCGCCGCGGUAAAAC